AAUGAACGCUGGCGGCAGGCCUAACACAUGCAAGUCGAGCGAGGUAGCAAUACCUAGCGGCGGACGGGUGAGUAACGCGUGGGAACGUACCCUUUGCUUCGGAAUAGCCCCUGGAAACGGGGAGUAAUACCGGAUGAGCCCUACGGGGGAAAGAUUUAUCGGCAAAGGAUCGGCCCGCGUUGGAUUAGGUAGUUGGUGGGGUAAUGGCCUACCAAGCCGACGAUCCAUAGCUGGUUUGAGAGGAUGAUCAGCCACACUGGGACUGAGACACGGCCCAGACUCCUACGGGAGGCAGCAGUGGGGAAUCUUAGACAAUGGGCGCAAGCCUGAUCUAGCCAUGCCGCGUGAUCGAUGAAGGCCUUAGGGUUGUAAAGAUCUUUCGUGGGGGAAGAUAAUGACGGUACCCCAAGAAGAAGCCCCGGCUAACUCCGUGCCAGCAGCCGCGGUAAUACGGAGGGGGCUAGCGUUAUUCGGAAUUACUGGGCGUAAAGCGCACGUAGGCGGAUUGAAAAGUCAGAGGUGAAAUCCCAGAGCUCAACUUUGGAACUGCCUUUGAAACUCUCAGUCUUGAGGUCGAGAGAGGUGAGUGGAAUUCCGAGUGUAGAGGUGAAAUUCGUAGAUAUUCGGAGGAACACCAGUGGCGAAGGCGGCUCACUGGCUCGAUACUGACG
rnacentral:rRNA from 1 species